ACCUGGUUGAUCCUGCCAGUAGUCAUAUGCUUGUCUCAAAGAUUAAGCCAUGCAUGUGUAAGUACAAGCCGAGUUAAGGCGAAACCGCGAAUGGCUCAUUAAAUCAGCUAUGUUUCAUUGGAUCUGUAAACCCACUUACUUGGAUAACUGUGGUAAUUCUAGAGCUAAUACAUGCAUCACGUCUCUGACCGCAAGGGAAGAGCGUCUUUUAUAGUUCAAACUGGUCCGGCCCCGGUCCGUUAACCCACCGUGGUGAAUCUGAAUAACUUUUGCUGAGCGCACGGUCUCCGCACCGGCGCCGCAUCCUUCAAGUGUCUGCCUUAUCAGCUUUCGAUUGUAGGUUAUGCGCCUACAAUGGCUAUAACGGGUAACGGGGAAGUCAGGGUUCGGAUUCCGGAGAGGGAGGCCUGAGAAACGGCUACCACAUCUAAGGAAGGCAGCAGGCACGCAAAUUACCCACUCCCGGCACGGGGAGGUAGUGACGAAAAAUAACGAUGCGAGACUCAUCCGAGGCCUCGCAAUCGGAAUGAGUACACUUUAAAUCCUUUAACGAGGAUCUAUUGGAGGGCAAGUCUGGUGCCAGCAGCCGCGGUAAUUCCAGCUCCAAUAGCGUAUAUUAAAGUUGUUAGCGGUUAAAAAGCUCGUAGUUGGAUCUCAGUUCCGGACUGACGGUACACCGCCUGGUGCUUACUGUCACGCUACCGAACAGCUAACCGUACGCCCCGCGCUCGCGACGGGUNCUCUCAUCGAGUCGUCCGAGUCGGCCG
rnacentral:rRNA from 1 species